rnacentral:rRNA from 1 species
CACGUAGGGGGCAAGCGUUGUCCGGAUUUAUUGGGCGUAAAGAGCUCGUAGGCGGCUCAGUAAGUCCGCUGUGAAAGUCGGGGGCUCAACCCUCGAAUGCCGGUGGAUACUGUCGGGCUAGAGUGCGGAAGAGGCGAGUGGAAUUCCUGGUGUAGCGGUGAAAUGCGCAGAUAUCAGGAGGAACACCUAUUGCGAAGGCAGCUCGCUGGGACGUAACUGACGCUGAGACGCGAAAGCGUGGGGAGCAAACAGG